AAUUUACACACACAUAUACCAAGUGACUAAAGGUUUCGUUUAAUUUUCAUCGGGAAUAUCGCAUUGUGGAUAUAUACGCCAAGAACUUCUAACGGGACUAGCUUAGGGGUGGUUAACGUUGUUGGUGUGUUUCCUAUACUUCGCAAAAAUGGGAAAGGAUAAGAAAAGCAAUGGUGUGGAUAUGGAAAUUCAAGAGGAGCAUGCUGAUGGUGUCAGAAAGAGGGAGACUUGGACCAACAAGAUCGACUUCUUGCUCGCUUGUAUUGGGUUUUCGGUGGGAUUAGGAAAUGUGUGGCGUUUUCCAUACCUUUGCUAUAAAAACGGUGGAGGUGCUUUCCUCAUUCCGUACUUUAUAUUGGUCAUCAUUGGAGGCGUGCCCCUGUUCUUCCAUGGGUAUCAUGUGGAAAUAGUUGGAAUUCGAAAUAUUGUACCGACUUUUCAAGCGAAGCGGCUGAAAGCCCGUUUGUCAAAAAUAUCUCCAGCAUGGGCAACUUUCAAAAACUUGUCUGUAGCAAUGCGACAGAAACGUAUUAUGCGAUUUUCAACGAGAGUGGGACCAUCCGUAACGAAAGCUAUUCGACUGCUUGUGUGCCAAGCCAUUUACGAUUGGAUUCCGUACAAGAGUUCUGGGAAAAUAAAGUCCUCAAUAUAUCUGAUGGAAUCGAACCUGAGAAUAUGGGAGAGAUCAAAUGGGAUUUGGCCUUGACCUUACUAUUUGCAUGGGUGGUUGUUUAUUGUUGCAUCUGCAAAGGCAUCAAGUCUUCAGGAAAGGUGAUGUACAUCACGGCAACAUCUCCAUAUCUCUUUAUGUUAGCUCUCCUCAUCAGAAACUGCUUAUUGCCAGGUGCAAGGACCGGAAUUCUGUUUUAUUUAACUCCAGAUUGGAGUAGACUGAACGAUUUAGAGGUAUGGGUUGAUGCGGGAACUCAAAUUUUCUUCUCGUAUUCAAUUGCCAUUGGUGCCCUAACAGCGCUUGGAAGUUACAACAAGUUCAAUCACAAUUCCUACAGGGACUGUAUCAUUUUUGCCUGUGCAAAUAGUGGCACGAGUUUCUUCGCUGGAUUCAUCAUUUUUACCAUUCUAGGACAUAUGGCGGAGGUCCAAGGGGUGGACAUCAAGGACGUGGCGGCUGGGGGUCCAGGACUAGCGUUCAUUGCCUACCCUAAAGCCGUGUCUCUUAUGCCGGGGGCACCGAUAUGGGCCAUCCUCUUCUUCCUGAUGUUGAUUCUGUUAGGACUGGACAGUCAGUUUGUGGGUGUUGAAGGCGUCAUUUCUGCCGUGGUCGACCAAUGGCCGAACCUGUUACGAAGGGGUUACAGAAAGGAAAUCUUCAUCGGGAUUGUCUGUAUACUUAACUUCUUUAUUGGACUUUCCAUGGUUUCGCGGGGCGGAAUGUACGUCUUCCAACUGUUUGACUACUAUUCAGGGAGUAAAAUCAUUCUCUUCAUUGCAUUCUUCGAGUGCAUUGCCAUUGCAUGGAUAUACGGAGUGAGGCGUUUCUAUGACAACCUUGAGAUGAUGCUUGGGUUCCGAAUCAACCCCUACAUGAUGGUAUCCUGGACCGUUCUCUCGCCUAUUUUCUGUAUGUGUGUCUUUAUCAUGAGUGUGGUCAACUACUCUGAACUAGACUACAAGAGACCCACAAAGCCGCUCUACAAGUUCCCCACCUGGGCAGUGGGGAUUGGCUGGGGCAUGGCUGCCUUUGCUGCCAUCUGGAUUCCUCUGAUGAUUUUGUAUCGAUUCUACGAGAGGGGCAUAUCAAGAGAAACAAUCACCUAUUUGAUAACCCCACAAGGACUGAAGGACCAUCAACUUCGCCCUCAGGAUAAAAAGGAAGGGACCUCUGCCGACAAAUACCGCACCUCCAACCCCCCACCCUACCAGGAGAAGGGCACUGCUAAUGAAGGAUUCCAAUCCAACUCUACGCUCGACAACACCAAGUUAUAAACUCAGAAGCCUUUAGUUUCAUAACUACGUGUAAAUAGAUGUAUAUUGGUGUUCAUACAAUUAACAAUUGCUCAGAAUUUUUUUAUACAAAUUAUAUAUUUUUAUAGUAACACUUUGAUAUUGAAGAUUUUAUUUGUAUUAAAUUACAUUCCAUUUAUGACUGGUAUGUACAAUUUUUAAGUUCAAAGUGUAAUGAUAAUUGAUCUAUCAUGGUUAUUAAUGAAUUUUUUUUUAUAAUGAAAAAAUUUUGUACUGUACUAUUUAGGUUUAUUAAAGUUUCUGAAAUCCUAUCAAAUAACAAUGUAGCAUGUCAAGGAAUAAAUGGAUUGAAGUAUUAUAUCCAUAUCAUAUAAACUAAUUAAUAUUAUUUGAAAAUAUCUAUCCUUGAUGUAUCAAUUUAAAAAAAAACAUUCUUUAAAAAAAAAGAUACUCUUUAGGCAUUCCGACGGUAUUUUUUGUAUAAAACUUUAAAUUACAGAAAAUCUUCAUACAUUCUAAGGGCAUUAAUGUCUGACGCAUUACCAAGUAAAUCACUGAAAAAUGAGCAGCCUUAAAAACUUUUUAAUCCUGAGUAGGAUUUAUGUCCCAAAAUCGCAUAAUUUACAACUUACAAAUUUGUAAAAUUUUAUCCAGAAAGCAAAAAUAUAAAACAACCACCAUCUAUUUCUAUAUGGGGCUCCUGAACUCUGGUUAUGUGGUUAUAAUGUAACCAAAAGGUUGCUGGGUUGAAAUCUUUAUCCACUGUGGAUGCUUGGUGUUAAACAAAGGAUUUGUCUCUUAUCCACUUGUCACCUCAAGGCUUUAUGCAAUAUAUUAUAUGUAGUGUGCUUAAUUUUUCCCUGUUCUAUCUUCAAAUGUAUAUUGUUGUAGAAUUGUAGCUCUGCAGGGAAAUUCGGGUAAUAUGUUCUGAAAACCCCUCAAAUUUUUCUGUUGAAAUACAUUUCUGCAGUAACAGUUUACCUGUUCUUUUAAAUCCUAGCAAUAAUAUAUACGUUUUUCAUGUAUUAAAAUAUGGAUUUGUUUGCAUAUCUAUUGUGUAGGUAGUAGAAAUAUACAGGGAUAAUGUAGAUGAGAAAGUUUAUAUUUUAGCACAAUUUUCAAUAAUAAUAUACUCUUUUUGUAAUAAAAUUUGUUUUUUAUGG
rnacentral:misc_RNA from 1 species